rnacentral:rRNA from 1 species
UACGUAGGGGGCUAGCGUUGUCCGGAAUCAUUGGGCGUAAAGAGCGUGUAGGCGGCUCGGUAAGUCCGCUGUGAAAGUCCAGGGCUCAACCCUGGAAUGCCGGUGGAAACUGUCGAGCUAGAGUCCGGAAGAGGAGAGUGGAAUUCCUGGUGUAGCGGUGAAAUGCGCAGAUAUCAGGAGGAACACCGGUGGCGAAGGCGGGUCUCUGGGCCGAUACUGACGCUGAGGAGCGAAAGCGUGGGGAGCGAACAGG